GCUGACGAGUGGCGGACGGGUGAGUAAUGUCUGGGAAACUGCCUGAUGGAGGGGGAUAACUACUGGAAACGGUGGCUAAUACCGCAUAACGUCGCAAGACCAAAGAGGGGGACCUUCGGGCCUCUUGCCAUCAGAUGUGCCCAGAUGGGAUUAGCUGGUUGGUGAGGUAACGGCUCACCAAGGCGACGAUCCCUAGCUGGUCUGAGAGGAUGACCAGCCACACUGGAACUGAGACACGGUCCAGACUCCUACGGGAGGCAGCAGUGGGGAAUAUUGCACAAUGGGCGCAAGCCUGAUGCAGCCAUGCCGCGUGUAUGAAGAAGGCCUUCGGGUUGUAAAGUACUUUCAGCGGGGAGGAAGGUGUUGUGGUUAAUAACCGCAGCAAUUGACGUUACCCGCAGAAGAAGCACCGGCUAACUCCGUGCCAGCAGCCGCGGUAAUACGGAGGGUGCAAGCGUUAAUCGGAAUUACUGGGCGUAAAGCGCACGCAGGCGGUCUGUCAAGUCGGAUGUGAAAUCCCCGGGCUCAACCUGGGAACUGCAUUCGAAACUGGCAGGCUUGAGUCUUGUAGAGGGGGGUAGAAUUCCAGGUGUAGCGGUGAAAUGCGUAGAGAUCUGGAGGAAUACCGGUGGCGAAGGCGGCCCCCUGGACAAAGACUGACGCUCAGGUGCGAAAGCGUGGGGAGCAAACAGGAUUAGAUACCCUGGUAGUCCACGCCGUAAACGAUGUCUACUUGGAGGUUGUGCCCUUGAGGCGUGGCUUCCGGAGCUAACGCGUUAAGUAGACCGCCUGGGGAGUACGGCCGCAAGGUUAAAACUCAAAUGAAUUGACGGGGGCCCGCACAAGCGGUGGAGCAUGUGGUUUAAUUCGAUGCAACGCGAAGAACCUUACCUGGUCUUGACAUCCACGGAAGUUUUCAGAGAUGAGAAUGUGCCUUCGGGAACCGUGAGACAGGUGCUGCAUGGCUGUCGUCAGCUCGUGUUGUGAAAUGUUGGGUUAAGUCCCGCAACGAGCGCAACCCUUAUCCUUUGUUGCCAGCGGUCCGGCCGGGAACUCAAAGGAGACUGCCAGUGAUAAACUGGAGGAAGGUGGGGAUGACGUCAAGUCAUCAUGGCCCUUACGACCAGGGCUACACACGUGCUACAAUGGCGCAUACAAAGAGAAGCGACCUCGCGAGAGCAAGCGGACCUCAUAAAGUGCGUCGUAGUCCGGAUUGGAGUCUGCAACUCGACUCCAUGAAGUCGGAAUCGCUAGUAAUCGUGGAUCAGAAUGCCACGGUGAAUACGUUCCCGGGCCUUGUACACACCGCCCGUCACACCAUGGGAGUGGGUUGCAAAAGAAGUAGGUAGCUUAACCUUCGGGAGGGCGCUUACCACUUUGUGAUUCAUGACUGGGGUGAAGUCGUAACAAGGUAACCGUAGGGGAACCUGCGGUUGGAUCACCUCCUUA
rnacentral:rRNA from 1 species